GUGGGGAAUCUUGCGCAAUGGGCGAAAGCCUGACGCAGCAACGCCGCGUGAGCGAAGACGGCCUUCGGGUUGUAAAGCUCUGUCAGGAGGGACGAAGCCACUCAGGUGAAUAGCCGAGAGGGUGACGGUACCUCCAGAGGAAGCCCCGGCUAACUACGUGCCAGCAGCCGCGGUAAUACGUAGGGGGCAAGCGUUGUCCGGAAUCAUUGGGCGUAAAGCGCGUGUAGGCGGCCAUCCAAGUCUGGUGUGAAAGCUCGGGGCUCAACCCCGAGUCUGCACUGGAAACUGGAUGGCUUGAGUCCGGAAGAGGAGACUGGAAUUCCUGGUGUAGCGGUGAAAUGCGCAGAUAUCAGGAAGAACACCGGUGGCGAAGGCGGGUCUCUGGGACGGUACUGACGCUGAGACGCGAAAGCGUGGGGAGCAAACAGGAUUAGAUACCCUUGUAGUCC
rnacentral:rRNA from 1 species